GACAGAGGGGGGCAAGCGUUGCUCGGAAUUACUGGGCGUAAAGGGCGCGUAGGCGGGAUGGCAAGUCGGUCGUGAAAUCCUUCGGCUCAACCGAAGAACGUCGAUCGAUACUGCUGUUCUUGAGGGUUGCAGAGGAGACUGGAAUUCCCGGUGUAGCGGUGAAAUGUGUAGAGAUCGGGAGGAACACCGGUGGCGAAGGCGGGUCUCUGGGCAAUUCCUGACGCUGAGGCGCGAAAGCCAGGGGAGCAAACGGG
rnacentral:rRNA from 1 species